UCUUCUUGUGUGUUAACAGGUCAUUGGCACUGCAGUAUCACAACAUCAUUUGCUGGCAUGUACAUCUAGGAUGCGAUCUAUCCAGAUGAGAUUCUCUCCAAUGCCAGCAAACCGACAGUGGAAGACACGAGCCAGCACUUCUCCCCCCACAUUGCCUCUGGCUUCUGAGAUCCCCACUUAUAACUGCUUCUUCCCCUUUCAUGAGACCAGAUGCUAUGUUGGGAUCACCGGGGCCUCCAUCACCCGGCAUGUACACGCUACAUCAGGUGUAGCAAUUAUGUGAGCUGCAGUCUGGAUCCUGCCUCUGUCAGAUGACCUUACACAAAUGGAAAGAUGACAUCAACCCUUGCAAGGACUUCA